UUUCCUGAUCGGCGUUUUCCUGCAUGUUUCAGCGUUGGUGCACAACAAGUGAACCUCGCCUGCAUGCAUUUCGGCAAUUUCUAUGCCAUAAGAUGCAAAGAAGGGUGCCUCGUGUCAUUGGCUCUUGUUAGGAAUGAGUUCCUUAUUGUGCGCCAUGAGUUGGAGAUCAUGAUGGAGCUGGAGGAGCAGAUCGCGGCGUGUGGUCCUAACUCCUAAGUAGUGGCUAGUAAAGGGGAAGGAGCAUGGCGCCACUGAAGGGCGCGCGUGAGACCAGAUGAGGAUUCUGACAUCGGAACUUCAGUCUCAUAACCCUAUAAACGGAACUUGGUGUCCCUCUGUUGACGUUUGUUUGUGAAGUCUAUAUACUUGUGUGUUAUGGAUGUGCUUCUGCCGCUCCCGCAAGCUGUGUGUAAAACCUAUACCUGGUUGGUUGGUUGCCAGUGACUUUGUGUUAUUGUAUGUUGUGUUGGCUUAUCUAUCUAAGAAAGUCUCA